rnacentral:rRNA from 1 species
UGGGGAAUCUUGGACAAUGGGGGCAACCCUGAUCCAGCCAUGCCGCGUGAGUGAUGAAGGCCUUAGGGUCGUAAAGCUCUUUCGCCUGUGAAGAUAAUGACGGUAGCAGGUAAAGAAACCCCGGCUAACUCCGUGCCAGCAGCCGCGGUAAUACGGAGGGGGUUAGCGUUGUUCGGAAUUACUGGGCGUAAAGCGCACGUAGGCGGACCAGAAAGUUGGGGGUGAAAUCCCGGGGGCUCAACCCCGGAACUGCCUCCAAAACUAUUGGUCUAGAGUUCGAGAGAGGUGAGUGGAAUUCCAAGUGUAGAGGUGAAAUUCGUAGAUAUUUGGAGGAACACCAGUGGCGAAGGCGCCUAACUGGUCCGGUACUGACGCUGAGGAACGAAAGCGUGGGGAGCAAACAGGAUUAGAUACCCUGGUAGUCCACGCCGUAAAACGAUGAGUGCUAGAUGUUGGGAUUUUCGGAUUUCAGUGUCGCAGCUAACGCAUUAAGCACUCCGCCUGGGGAGUACGGCCGCAAGGUUAAAACUCAAAA